GCAAGAUGUCAGGUCCUUUUGCCUCCUUUCUCUUUUUGCUGGUUUAUAGAGUACUGUAUUUGAUUUCAAUGUGUGUUAGGAUACUUAGGACACUCUGUUUUAGGUGCUUAGGUAUUUACGUAGUAGGUACUCAUUUUUUAUGUUUGUCUGCAUUCAGCAGCUUUAACUCUGUACCCAGCUAGUCCAUAAUAAAUCAGGACAUUGUAAGUCGUAUUCUGAUAAACAAAAACACAGCAAGACCAUAGUUACCUGGAAUGUGAUACUCCCAAGUUGUGGUACGGGUGCCUGGUACGCGGUACCCCACUAAACGAAAUAUAGG
rnacentral:misc_RNA from 1 species